UCCUUGAUGGGUCAGUGGUAAAGAAUCUGCCUGUAAUGCAGGAGACACAGGUUUGAUUCCUGGUCAGGGAA
rnacentral:tRNA from 1 species